rnacentral:rRNA from 1 species
CUUUAGGAGGGGGAUAACAACUGGAAACGGUUGCUAAUACCCCAUAUGCUUUCGAGUGAAAUGGAUUUCCGCCUAAAGAGAAGCUUGCGGCUGAUUAGCUUGUUGGUGAGGUAAUGGCUCACCAAGGCGACGAUCAGUAUCUGGUUUGAGAGGACGAUCAGACACACUGGAACUGAGACACGGUCCAGACUCCUACGGGAGGCAGCAGUGGGGAAUUUUCCGCAAUGGGCGAAAGUGACGGAGCAAUACCGCGUGAGGGAUGACGGCCUAUGGGUUGUAAACCUCUUUUUUCAGGGAGGAAUCAAUGACGUGUACCUGAAGAAUAAGCAUCGGCUAACUCCGUGCCAGCAGCCGCGGUAAGACGGAGGAUGCAAGUGUUAUCCGGAAUCACUGGGCGUAAA